UCCGCAUGUACCUACUGAGUUUAGGAAGCCACUUAUUACACCCUGGAGGCUGGAGGCCGGAGCCAGCAGCACUGUGGCUCUGCUCUUGCCUCACCUCGCUGUAGUAGGUGGAGGUGACUGAGACCGCAGCCCCGCGGGAGCGCUAGGGGGCCGCCGGCAGCAGGAGCUGCUCCUGUCUGGCUAGAGGAGGAGGAGAUGGGAGAGCUGAGUGCCCCACGUUGGAGGCUGGGGCCUGUGACAGCGCACCUCUCCUCCCUGUGGUUGGUGGCGGCCACGGAGACGGCAGCACAGCUGAAGUGGUCAUCUUGAGUCAAGACACUCCCAUUCCAGACACCACCAGGACAACCUGGUCCUGCCAGCCCCAAGUCCUCUCCUGACCCACCCUCUGCAGAACCUGCCUGAAGGGCUGGAGAAAAGGGUAGCCUGGAGGGCUCAGAUCCAGGUGAACUGGGACAGACCUGCUCACGGCUGUGUCCACAAUCCUGCUGGGGCUGGAGUAAGAGGGCGACACAGACAGAAAAAGGGUCAUCCUGGCCAUCCGUUUCAAGGUCACAGACACUGCAGGUACCUUAGUUAGCUCAGAGGAGGUCACAGAAACUACAAAAGAAGAUAGAAAAGGUGACAGCGCCUGCCUUGGAUAGGUACAGGCCCCACCCCAGGGCACAGUUCCUCAGUGCUAGAGAAGAAGAAAAUUUCUUGGUUGCCAAGUGCACACGGAGUGUUGGAAGAUCCAUGGGAUGCUAGCAUCUCCACCUUGGGGCAUCUCCCAGGGAAAUCCAACCCUUUGGGAGCUGCCCAGGCUGACACCAGGGCCCAGGCGUCUCCAGCUGCAUUUCCCAGGCCCCUGUUGGAUUGCAGGCCCCAAGUGGAUUCCUAGGCCCCAGGUGCACAUCAGACACUGGUGUACACGCAGGCCCUGGGUGGACUUACCUGUGUACAGCAGCACCUCUCCCUGGCUUCACACUGAUGUCCUGUGAUUGGAGAUGGAGCUUCCUGCACUAGGUCACUCCUCAGGCCCUGUAACCUGAAGGGGUGCAGACCAGCACUGUCCAAUCACAAUAUGAUGUGAGCAUCACGGGAAUUCCAAGGUCUAGUCACCACGUUAGAAAUACAAAGGAAAGAAGAUAAAUGAACUCAAAUAAUAUAUUUUAUUUACCUAACUUAUCAAAACAGUAUCAUUUUCAUACGUGAUCUGAGUUCAAUUAUCUGUGUAACAUUUUAGAUACCUUUUCAUGGCUACUGUUUCUAUUUUUUGAAGAAUCUUUGUGUGGAAAUUGUGUGGCUGAUGGGGAUGUGAGUGGGUUUUCCUUGACAAGUGUAGGCUCUUGUGGCUUUUAAAGUGUCAACUUUGAUAGGCUGAAGGAGGGGUGGAAAGAAUGAUUUUUUUCACAGGAUGUGGAGGGUGGAGGUGGGCAGCAUCCAUCCUGCAGCUCACCCUGUGGGUGCAUCUGUGGUCCCUGCUUGGGGUGAGGCUGCUUCUCUUGACCCCAGAUUCCUGCAGAAGGAUCUGACUCCAACUCUCCCUCAGACCCCAGAGCACCUGGCGUGCCAGGCCCCCUUUCAUUCCACACAAAUGCAAGAAACACUCAGAUCUCACUGGGCAUUUGCAGACUCAUAAUCAUCAUUAGGAAUAAACUGGUGCUUUCUGGUAUACUGUGGCCUCCUCAGGUUCCUGAUGGCUCAAGUUGGAGAUGACCUGUUGUGUUAUUUUGGGAUGCCUGGAAGCAGACUCUGACAUGGAGAUCUGCUUGCACAGCUGGUGUGAAACUAAGUGAAGGAGGCAACACCGGGCACAAGAACACCCUGACCCACAUUGAGUCUUCUACCAUCCCAAUAAGGAGCUGUGAAACUCGGAGGAUUUUCUGUUUCUCCUAUACUGAAAGGGAGUCUUGAGAUCUUCACCUCAGGCAGUUACGGAACCAAACCUGUUGAGAAGGGGCAUAAACCUGGAGGAGACAGUUUUCUCUGUUGGCAGCCCUUCUCAGUGAGGGCACAGCUCUGAGCUGCCAGAGCUACCAGCAGUGCUGGGUGGGCGUUCUAAGAAAAGGGAAUGUGAGUGGAUCCCACAGUAUCCACUCCACUGGUUUUCCUGAAGAGAAUGGCAGGAUGCCACGGGAGCCUGAGCUGGGCAGUUCUGGAAACUGACUCAGGAUGUUCAGGCCAAGGACUAGCCUUCAUCCCCUAUGGAAAUCCAGAGCCCAACUAAGGAUGUCGACCCUGGCCUGAUAUUCCAACCAGUCCCCAUUUCCCCAAAUCACAACUGAGUCCCCCAAACCUCAAUAUAUCCUGGUCACCUCAGCCCUAAAUUCACUCUUGGUGCCCCCUCUGCAGAGCCUGCCUGGACAGCCUAUGAAAAGGGCAGCCUGUGUCUUGCUCCUCCAUCUCCCUGUGUCACUGUGGGAUGAGGAGCACUAAUGUCCCACAUCUUACAGUAAUAGCCUCAUCCCCAGCCUGGGCCCUGUUGAUGGUCAGGUUGGCUGUGUUCUCCAAGUUGGAGCCAGAGAAUCUCUCACAGAUCCCUGAAGGCCGCCUGCUAUCCCCAUAGAUGACCCAAACAGGGGCCUGGCCUGGCUUCUGCUGGUACCAUUGAGCACUUUUACUUCCAAUGUUGCUUUCCCCACAGGUGAUUCUGGUCAUCUGUCCUGGGGCCACUGACACUGAGGGUGACUGUGUCAGUUCAUAGGAGAUGACAGAGCCUGCAAGGAAAGAAAAGGGGAGAGAAAAAAGUUGAAACUGAGUGGCUCAACCCAAGGAUAUCUUGCCACUUGCUGGGACUGGAGUGAGCCCCUGGAAUAAUAGGGCUUUCAGGGCACCCAUGAGCACAGGAGCACAGAGUGGGGGCAUUUCAGCACCCCAGCCCCUCCCCCAUCAGCAGGGUCAUGAGCAUCCUGCCCAUCACACACGGGGCCCUGCUGAACACAGACUGAGGACCACGCUGAACCUAGAGGCCUGGGGCUGGGCAGGUGGGUGAGACCCUGGGGCAGCACCUGUGCAUUGAGUCAGGAGACCAAGGAAAAGAGGGACCAGGCCAUGGCUGAAGCACCUCCAAUGAUGCUUCUCAAAUCUGAGGCUGGGCAGGCUCCUCCCAGGUCUCUCUUAAUCCUUUGUUGGAGAGAAUGGCCCUUGAUGCCAAUCAGCAGAGUCAGGGGCUGCUGCUGGAGGAGGCUUGUGGUUCCCAG